rnacentral:rRNA from 1 species
UACGUAGGGGGCAAGCGUUGUCCGGAAUCAUUGGGCGUAAAGCGCGUGUAGGCGGCUCGGUAAGUCCGCUCUGAAAGUCCAGGGCUCAACCCUGGGAUGCGGGUGGAUACUGCCGGGCUCGAGUCCGGAAGAGGCGAGUGGAAUUCCCGGUGUAGCGGUGAAAUGCGCAGAUAUCGGGAGGAACACCGGUGGCGAAGGCGGCGACCUGGGACAAUACUGACGCUGAGGUGCGAAAGCGUGGGGAGCAAACAGG